rnacentral:rRNA from 1 species
GUAUAGCCUUUCAGGUUGAUUCUGUGGAGCGUGAGGAGUUAAACGCCUUCAUGCCUGCAUAUUCGUGCUCUUGGGUGUACUUGCUCGUGUGGUUGGUUAACAUCACUUUCGGUUAUCAUCAAAUGGUUGGAGGAAUGGAGCUUCCAUUUCGAUUGAAGUGUUAUAGCCUUUGGCAGAUGUGAUGAUCGCGAUUGAGGAUUGCAACGGAUACCCUUCGGGGCUACCUGUCUGAUCUCUGAUCGUUGCUCUGGUGCCGAAAGCUUGCUUACGGUUAUCAAAGUCGAUGGUCAACAGGUUAGAAUGGGUUAAAUUCGUUAAGGAUGUUGACGUA